AAACUUAGGAUAAUCCACAAACCG
rnacentral:tRNA from 1 species